rnacentral:rRNA from 1 species
GAUGAACGCUGGCGGCGUGCCUAACACAUGCAAGUCGAGCGAAGCACCUUACUUGAUUUCUUCGGGAUGAAAGUAUUGUGACUGAGCGGCGACGGGUGAAGUACGCGUAGAGUAACCUGCCUCAUACAGGGGGAUAACAGUUAGAAAUGACUGCUAAUACCGCAUAAGACCACAGCACCGCAUGGUGCAGGGGUAAAAACUCCGGUGGUAUGAGAUGGAUCCGCGUCUGAUUAGCUAGUUGGUAAGGUAACGGCCCACCAAGCCGACGAUCAGUAGCCGACCUGAGAGGGUGACCGGCCACAUUGGGACUGAGACACGGCCCAA